GAUGAAGAACGUAGCGAAAUGCGAUAAGUAAUGUGAAUUGCAGAAUUCAGUGAAUCAUCGAAUCUUUGAACGCACAUUGCGCCCGCCAGUAUUCUGGCGGGCAUGCCUGUCUGAGCGUCAUUUCAACCCUCAUGCCCCUAGGGCGUGGUGUUGGGGAUCGGCCAAAGCCCGCGAGGGACGGCCGGCCCCUAAAUCUAGUGGCGGACCCGUCGUGGCCUCCUCUGCGAAGUAGUGAUAUUCCGCAUCGGAGAGCGACGAGCCCCUGCCGUUAAACCCCCAACUUUCCAAGGUUGACCUCAGAUCAGGUAGGAAUACCCGCUGAACUUAAGCAUAUCAAUCAGCGGAGGA
rnacentral:misc_RNA from 1 species